rnacentral:misc_RNA from 1 species
GCUCCAUAAUCCCCUCGCGUAUAAAUGGCAGUGAGUUUGAGUCUUGUUUCCUCAUUCAAAGGACUCUCCUUAUCUUCCAAUUCUCUCCUUGGGGUUUCUCUUCCCAUUGCCCCUAAGUUCUCCGUUUCCUUCCCGUUGAAAUCUCCAUUGACAAUUGAGUCUGCACACAAGAAAGGAGCUGGUAGCACUAAGAAUGGUCGAGAUUCUCCUGGACAGAGGCUUGGUGUCAAGAUUUAUGGUGACCAAGUCGCCAAGCCCGGUUCUAUAAUCGUUCGCCAGCGCGGUACAAAGUUCCACCCAGGAAAGAAUGUUGGACUUGGCAAAGAUCACACAAUAUUUUCUUUGAUUGAUGGACUAGUCAAAUUUGAAAAGUUUGGACCUGACAGGAAAAAGAUAAGUGUUUAUCCACGCGAGGUGCAACCUGAAAACCCCAACAGCUAUAGAAACCGAAAGAGAGAGUCCUUCAGAUUACAACGUGAACGUAGAAAGGCACGAAGAGAAGGUGUCAUCCCUGAGCCUCAGUUGAUAGUUGCUUCUGCUGCUGAAUCCUCUGAAGAUAAUCCCAUCACCACUUGCUGAUAAUGGUCUUUCGAUUUUUCAAACAUUCUGUUGUCGUUUUGGUUAUUGCUAGUAGCUACUUGGGAACACAUUUGCAGGCACAUUUUCUAAACUGUGUUUCUGCCAUUGUUGUCUUUUUUUGUUUGUAAAUUGUGUUACUGAAAGCAUGAGUCUUUGUCACAGUUUGUAUGAGUACAGAAUGAAAUGUAUGAUUCAGAAGAUGCAGCUUUGCACAAUAG